rnacentral:misc_RNA from 1 species
GAUGAAGAACGUAGCGAAAUGCGAUAAGUAAUGUGAAUUGCAGAAUUCAGUGAAUCAUCGAAUCUUUGAACGCACCUUGCGCUCCUUGGUAUUCCGAGGAGCAUGCCUGUUUGAGUGUCAUUAAAUUCUCAACCUCACCAGUUUUCUGAACUGUUCUCCGAGGCUUGGAUGUGGGGGUUUGUGCAGGCUGCCUCAGCGCGGUCUGCUCCCCUGAAAUGCAUUAGCGAGUUCGAUACUGAGCUCCGUCUAUUGGUGUGAUAAUUAUCUACGCCGUGGAUCGGGGCUUAGACUCGCUUCUAACCGUCCGCAAGGACAAUACCUUGACAAUUUGGCCUCAAAUCAGGUAGGACUACCCGCUGAACUUAAGCAUAUCAAUAAGCGGAGGA